GUGCUUAACACAUGCAAGUCGAGCGGUAAGGCCUAUUCGGGGGUACACGAGCGGCGAACGGGUGAGUAACACGUGGGUGACCUGCCCUCCACUCUGGGAUAAGCCCGGGAAACUGGGUCUAAUACCGGAUAGGACCACUGAUCGCAUGGUUGGUGGUGGAAAGUUUUUUCGGUGGGGGAUGGGCCCGCGGCCUAUCAGCUUGUUGGUGGGGUGAUGGCCUACCAAGGCGGUGACGGGUAGCCGGCCUGAGAGGGCGACCGGCCACACUGGGACUGAGACACGGCCCAGACUCUACGGGAGGCAGCAGUGGGGAAUAUUGCGCAAUGGGCGGAAGCCUGACGCAGCGACGCCGCGUGGGGGAUGACGGCCUUCGGGUUGUAAACCUCUUUCGCCAGGGACGAAGAGCAAUUGACGGUACCUGGAGAAGAAGCACCGGCCAACUACGUGCCAGCAGCCGCGGUAACACGUAGGGUGCGAGCGUUGUCCGGAAUUAUUGGGCGUAAAGAGCUCGUAGGCGGUGUGUCGCGUCGGCCGUGAAAACUUGGGGCUUAACUCUGAGCGUGCGGUCGAUACGGGCAUCACUUGAGUUCGGCAGGGGAGACUGGAAUUCCUGGUGUAGCGGUGAAAUGCGCAGAUAUCAGGAGGAACACCGGUGGCGAAGGCGGGUCUCUGGGCCGAUACUGACGCUGAGGAGCGAAAGCGUGGGGAGCGAACAGGAUUAGAUACCCUGGUAGUCCACGCCGUAAACGUUGGGCGCUAGGUGUGGGGACCAUUCCACGGUUUCUGUGCCGCA
rnacentral:rRNA from 1 species